GAUACUGUAAACCGGAGCUAAUACCGGAUAAUAUUUCGAACCGCAUGGUUCGAUAGUGAAAGAUGGUUUUGCUAUCACUUAUAGAUGGACCCGCGCCGUAUUAGCUAGUUGGUAAGGUAACGGCUUACCAAGGCGACGAUACGUAGCCGACCUGAGAGGGUGAUCGGCCACACUGGAACUGAGACACGGUCCAGACUCCUACGGGAGGCAGCAGUG
rnacentral:rRNA from 1 species